GGCGGCGGCGGGUGCCCGGACCCGCCUUUUCCCGCGUCUCGGCGCGUGCCGGAGCUCCCGGACGCAGCCGCGGCGGCGCGUCGUGGUGUCCCUGAGGGCUCUCGGCGCGUUUUUGAGGAGCCAUUGACACAGUCUCCUGCGCGUGCACAGGGGUUGUUGGCUCAGUCGCUGUGUUGAGCCUGCGGCCUGACCGCGUGCGCCUACUGGUCCUCAUGCCAGUCUUUGGUACAUUCCCCGGAGUUUUCCACGCGUGUCAUGUGGAAACAUGCGUGUCACUUCCGCCUUCUCUACCCCAUGCCCGUUAUCUCGUUUUCCCGUGGCCGCUCUGGCUGGAGCCCCCAGGGCAUCGCUGGACAGCAGUGACCGGUGUUUCCAAGGUUAGGGCGUCCACUUACAUUCUAAAUAUAGGCACUGACGGCUGCAAAUCCCCGCGGAGCAGGCUCUAGCGGUACUCCUGCCCUCCGAAUGUCCUCCACGAGCCUCUGUUCUCAGUCAUCUCAAGGUCUGCUGAGUGGAACAGGAGCCGUAUCCCUGGGCGGAAUGUGCUGUGCCACCCCGGAGAGCGGAGCUGCAGGCGCACCCGUCGCCUCGCCGGGGCCGAGAGACGGCAGGAGAACCUGGUGCCUCCGCUGCGCUGCGCGCGGCAGUGUCGCUGAUCAGGUUCUGUUCCGGAGCUUCUACUUCCACCUGGAGAAAACGUGUGUAGGGCUUCUCAACACUAGCGGGAAAACUUUGGCUUGGACUAAUGCUCAGUCUGGCGCCAAAUUUCCAUGGAAUUCGAAUUCACGUAGUCCACGGAAUUUUAUUCAGGGAGGGUAUCCUAGCAGAGCAAUCCUUGCAGUCCUUCACUUUGCUCUAUUGAACUGUCUUAAAAGUCCCUGUUUCCAGCAGCUACAUUACUUGAUUAAAACAAGUAAAAUUUUAAAAAUGAAUGAAUAAAUAAGUAGAGCAACUGGGACUCAACCCAGCACCUACUUGGGAUUCUGGUGUUGCAGGCGAUGGCUUUAUCCACUACGCCAUGAUGCCAGGCUCUCCUCCCUCUGCCCCCUUCUCAUGGACAAAAGGUUUGCUGGAUGUGAAAUAGGCAAAAUCCCUCUUAAUGUUUUAUGACUCUGCGUUAUCAGACUGCGUAGCCCACUUGGCACCAAGCAUAGGAGAAUCCUGUGAGCACCUGUGAAGUUACUGUCAUUAUUUUUUAUUUAAGAUUUAUUUACUUAUUUGAAAGGCAGAAUUACAGAGAAGGAGAGGCAGAAAGAGAGAGAGAGAGAGAGAGGGAGAGAGAGAGAGAGGUCUUCCAUUCACUGGUUCACUCCCUAAAUGGCCGCAAUGGCCAGGGCUGGGCCAGGCUGAAGCCAGGAGCUUCCUCUGGACCUCCCACGUGGGUGCAGGGGCCCAGGUACUUGGGUCAUCUGCCACUGCUUUCCCAGGUGCAUUAGCAGAGAGCAGGACUCGAACUGGUGCCCACAUGGGAUGCUGGAGCUGCAGGUGGCAGCUUUACCCGCCUGGGCGGGCUUGGUCGUGUGAAAACGGGGCUGCUUCUGAGCGUGCCGCCUUCCUCCCCGCGGGCACUGUGCUCCCCAGGCCCCUCGUACGCACAGAAGCCAACUCCUAACUUCCCAGCUGACAGCAGCCCCAAGCACCUAGCCCGGCUUCUGCUGCCUUCCCAGCACGUCAGCAGGGAGCAGAGGCAGAGCAGCCGGGACUCGCCCGGCACUGAAGUGUGCUUCAACCUGCCGCCCAAUAACGCCAGCCCCAAGAUCGACCACUUAUUUGAAAUUCUGAGCGAGAGAGAGAGAAGUUCCAUUCACUGUUCACUCCCCAGAAGGCCACAAUAACCAGGGCUGAGCCAGUCCAAAACCAGGAGCCAGGAACGCCAGCCAGGCCCCCCCUGUGUGAGAAGAUGGGCAGCUCGGGGGAGGCGCUGAGCUCUGACCGCUCCUUGCCGAACCUGUGAGAGGUGGUCGGUGGCGCCAGCUCCAGGUGAAUCCUGGCAGGCCCGCGUGUCAAGUCCCCUCCUGCCCCUUCUGUGGUUGCUCCAGCUCCACUACCCUUGCACCAGCACCAACUUCCUUCUGUGGGUGGAAACCGCAGGUUUUACAAUGUUGCGAACCAGCACUAGCUAGCUAUAUCCAACAUGGCGCAGGGGGUGUCGUAAUGUCAUAAUACUGAAAUCGCCCUGGUGACACACCCACUGCCAUCAUGCUCCCGGCACCGUGACACUUCCAGACUUCCCAGAAGGGCAAGGAACUGGGCGGUGCCCAGGCCCUGCCAGCAGCUGGGCUCCAGGACAAGCAUUGCCCUUGGUGCCUCUGAGGGCAGGGAGGGAAGGCUUCUGUCCAGAACUGGCACUGCUGGCUGUCCUGCCUCCUGAGGGGUUUCUCUUUGGCCUUUGUCAUACACCACCACCGGGUCACUGAGUUGCACUUCUGUUUUGCUUUGCGUAAAUCCGGCUCUGCCACACGCUUUGUGUGUCCAUCUUUGAAUCUGUUCAGGUGUGGAGAGAGAACCUGAGGUAAGGCCAGCCAGCAGGCCCCAGCACACACGCAUUUCCACUUCAACCCAUAUUCUUUCUUUUCUUAAUUUAUUUAUUUGGAAGGCAGAGUUAGAGAGAGAGAGGGGCCCUUCGGCUGCUGGUUCACUCCCCAAAUGGCUGCAAUGGCUGGAGCUUGGCCGAUCUGGAGCCAGAGCAGGUGCACAUAGGUGCAGGGGCACAAGCACGUGGGUCGUGUAACAGGUGAAGCCGCCACCUGCAGUGCCGGCAUCCCAUAUGUGCACCAGUUCCAGACCCGGCUGCUCCACUUCCGAUCCAGCUCCCUGCUAAUGUUCCUGGGAAAGCAGUAGAAGAUGGCCCAAGUGCUUGGGUCCCUGCACCCACGUGGGAGACCCUGGGCAACCUCUGAGCUCCUGGUUUCAGCCUAGCCCAGCCCUGGUCCUUGGAGCCACUGGGAGAGUGAUCCAGCAGAUAGAAGAUCUGUGUGUAUGUGUAUGUGUGAGAGAGAAAGAGAGAGAGAGUCUCUUCCUCUCUCUGUAGCUCUUUCAAACAAAAGAUCUUUACAAAUAAAUCUUUUAAAAAAUUAAAGAAAAGCGGCA
rnacentral:lncRNA from 1 species